GCCUGGGAAGACUGUAGGAUCUCUGUGAGAGAAAUACGCUGCCUUACACAAGGCUAUCAUAUUAUCCCGAUGGACUGUUUAAGGUAUAAUACAAAAUUUUCAUAGAGCAUAAAAUACAACAGCAUCCACAGGAGGACAUGGCAAAGAAAAAAAAUAGAGAAUAUACAGCAUAUAUUUACCAAUUAAUCAGAGAUUACAGAAGCUGUACUUGAAACUAUAUUGUUACCACAAUUGACCUUGAUGAUCUGAAUGGUAUAAAGACAGUAAAGAUCUAAUCAGGACACAAGCAUCUUUUGAAUAAAUCCUAAUUUUGACCAUCAUCAUCAUUUUGGAUACUUUACUGUUCCAUCUGCCUGAUUUGAACUUUAAAGAGUCAUCAUCACAAGAGAGGUUCAUCAUCAUCUCUAUAAA